GGGUUGGCGCAAUGGUAGCGCGUGCCCCUCCUAAAUAUUAAGGGCAAGGCUACAAGUACAAGUCUUGUAUCGGUCG